GACUUCUGCGUAAGCACGGUGCUAAAACCGCAGAAACGAGGAUCACAGCCCGGCUUGGUAAUGAAGCUAGCAGGGCGCACACAAGAACAGAAGUGACUGCACUAGAUUGUACAGACUGGGGUGGACCUCUUUCUUCACGUCCAGUGUCCUUUGUCUUAAGAUGUAUGCAGCAUGU